UGAUAGAUAAGUUAAGGCGUGAUAACGAAGCACACUUUGUGUGUCAAGUGAGUAAUACCAUGCUUCCAAGAAAAGCCACUAAGCUUCAGUUAAAUAAAGACCGUACCGCAAACCGACACAGGUGGGUGGGAUGAGAAUUCUAAGGCGCUUGAGAGAACUCAGGAGAAGGAACUCGGCAAAUUGACACCGUAACUUCGGGAGAAGGUGUGCCUUUAGUAAGUGAUUAACUUCGCGUUAAUAGCUGAAUAAGGUUGCAAAAAUAGGUGGCUGCGACUGUUUAAUAAAAACACAGCACUCUGCAAACACGUAAGUGGACGUAUAGAGUGUGACGCCUGCCCGGUGCCGGAAGGUUAAAUGAUGAAGUGCAAGCUUUUGAUUGAAGCCCCGGUAAACGGCGGCCGUAACGAUAACGGUCCUAAGGUAGCGAAAUUCCUUGUCGGGUAAGUUCCGACCUGCACGAAUGGCGUAACGAUGGCCAUACUGUCUCCUCCUGAGACUCAGCGAAGUUGAAAUGUUUGUGAAGAUGCAAUCUACCCGCGGCUAGACGGAAAGACCCCGUGCACCUUUACUGUAGCUUUACAUUGGGUUUUGGCAAUAUUUGUGUAGGAUAGGUGGGAGACUAUGAAAUGAUCUCGCUAGAGAUUAUGGAGUCGACGUUGAAAUACCACCCUAAUAUUUCUAGAAUUCUAACCUUGAUCCAUUAUCUGGAUUGGGGACCGUGUAUGGUAGGCAGUUUGACUGGGGCGGUCUCCUCCCAAAGUGUAACGGAGGAGUGCGAAGGUACGCUAGGUACGGUCGGAAGUCGUACUAAUAGUGCAAUGGCAAAAGCGUGCUUGACUGCGAGACUGACAAGUCGAGCAGGUGCGAAAGCAGGUCAUAGUGAUCCGGUGGUUCUGUAUGGAAGGGCCAUCGCUCAACGGAUAAAAGGUACGCCGGGGAUAACAGGCUGAUUCCUCCCAAGAGUUCAUAUCGACGGGGGAGUUUGGCACCUCGAUGUCGGCUCAUCACAUCCUGGGGCUGUAGCCGGUCCCAAGGGUAUGGCUGUUCGCCAUUUAAAGUGGUACGUGAGCUGGGUUUAAAACGUCGUGAGACAGUUUGGUCCCUAUCUGCCGUGGGCGUUGGAAAUUUGAAUGGGGCUGUUCCUAGUACGAGAGGACCGGAAUGGACAUACCUCUGGUGUACCGGUUAUGACGCCAGUCGUACAGCCGGGUAGCUAAGUAUGGAAAAGAUAACCGCUGAAAGCAUCUAAGCGGGAAACUUGCCAUGAGAUAAGAUUUCCCUGGGAAAAUAUUCCCCUGAAGGUUCGUUGUAGACGACAACGUUGAUAGGUCGAGUGUGU
rnacentral:rRNA from 1 species